GAUUCUACGAUUAGAAGAGGCAAAAAGAUGACUUAAUAAUUUAUGUUAAUUUGUUUGUACCAAAUUAAUUAUGUUGUUUAAUAAUUGGAUAUCCUUCUUUGCUUCCAUGUAGAGUAAAUUUGUACUCUCUCCAGAUAACCAUGAAUCGGUGUGGAAGUCCCUUAAUCAAAAAUGAAAAGAAUUUAAGGCAACAUUAAAGAGGAACUACAAGAGAGAGGGUUUGGCGAAGGAUGAUGUUGCUCAUAUUUAUCCUCCUGAUAUUGAUCCUCAUUAGUGAAGGGAGCUUGUCCAUUAUUGGUUCUCUGAGAGGAAAUAGGCAUAUUCUGUAAUUGGUAGAAUUGCACGAGCAACUCAGUCUGUUCCUCAUACAUCAGAGUCCAAGAGCUAUGCGCGACGUACACAAGAAUACAUAAGCUUAUUUGAAAAUAUUUAGCAUAUUACAAACUUUAUAGAUCAUAUUACAAAAUAUUUGUCAAUUAAAAUUUAUGGAUCAUAUAUUUUAUGAAAUUUAUGUUUUCUGUAGAUGAAUGAGCAUAGUGGGGAGUUUGGUCAGGUGGAGUUUUACAAGAUGACUCAUAUUCAUCGAGAUAGUCAUUUUGUUACUGACGAGUCGAGAGAUAUAUUUGAGAGCUUCAUCUCCUAUUGUAGAGUGUGUCGGCGAGUCCUUAGAAUCUACAGAGGCCAGUUAUAUCGAGGCCCAGGUGAUGAUAGAGCUGCUGGGACCGGAUUGCUAUGGUCGAGUGAGGGGUUAUGGAGUUGGAGUCACCCCCACUCAGUUAUCUAACAUACGUCGAUACACUCAGGAUGCUAGAGAGAGCUCUAGCAAUAUUGAUAUUUCUAUGCUCAAGGCUCGAAUGGAGGCACAGAUCAAGGAGCAAGUAGAGGCGCCGAUGCAGGAGCAAGUAGAGGCAUGGGUGCAGGUGCAAGUGCAGGUGGGGGUGAUAAAACAGAACUAUGACACUAUGAUAUCUAGCUUGAAGAUCCAAAUUGAUCAGUUGACAUCCGCAUUACACACAUUUGUGGAUUCUUCUAAGGUACAUAUCUUAUUAUAUUUGUUGCGGACAAGAGUUCGGCCCGUCACGUGAGGUAUUAUCCGCUCUGGCCCAUGGGCCUCACAGUUUUGCCCUUUAAAAGGUGCCUCACAUGGAAAAGAUUUUUUCUUCCUUAUAAGCGCAAGUCUCUUUUGACUCACAAUCGAUAUGGGACUAUUGGUGCCCUCCACAUUAUUAGAACCACUACAAAGCCUCCCAAUCAAAGGGGACUGCAAUGUGUACAGUCCGAGGAGCCCCAUAAUCAGUCGAGGCAGACCUCAACCCCAGAGAAUCGAGGCGGACCUUGACCUCUACCUGAUGCGUCAUUGUUGCGGACUAGGGCUCGGCCCGCCAUAUGAGGUAUUGUCUGCUUUGGUCAUGGACCUCACGAUUUUGUCCUUUAAAAGAUGCCUCACGUGGGAAGAAUUUUUUCUUUCUUAUAAGUACGAGUCUCCCUUUGACUCACAAUUGACGUGGGACUAUUGGUACCCUCCAUAUUAUUAAAAUCACAACAGAGCCUCCCAGUCAAGAGAGAAUCCGAUGUGUACAGUUCGAGAAGCCCCACACUCAGUCGAGGUGGAUCUCAGUCCCAGAGAACUGAAGCGGACCUCGACUCCUAUCUGGCGCACCAUUGUUGCGGACAAGGGCUCGACCCAUCACGUGAGGUAUUGUCCGCUCUAGUCUAUGAGCCUU